rnacentral:rRNA from 1 species
UACAGAGGGGGCAAGCGUUAUUCGGAAUUAUUGGGCGUAAAGGGCUCGUAGGCGGCUUGUCGCGUCGGGAGUGAAAGCCCGCUGCUUAACGGCGGGUUUGCUUUCGGUACGGGCUGGCUGGAGUGCGGCAGGGGAGACUGGAAUUCCUGGUGUAGCGGUGGAAUGCGCAGAUAUCAGGAGGAACACCGGUGGCGAAGGCGGGUCUCUGGGCCGUUACUGACGCUGAGGAGCGAAAGCGUGGGGAGCGAACAGG